UCAAAAACACUCAACCGCAACCUUAAGUGCGAACUGUACAGAUCGCUGAUUCGACCAGUUAUAGCAUAUGGAUCGGAAGCUUGGUGCAUGACACAAAGUGACGAACAGACACUUUUGGUUUUUGAAAGGAGAAUUCUUCGAUCAAUUUUUGGAGGUGUCAAUGUGAACGGCAACUGGAGAAGAAGAUACAACCAUGAGCUGUACCAGCUUUACAAUGAGCCCGAUAUAGUCAAAUUCAUCAAAAUCAAUCGAUUAAGAUGGCUCGGUCAUGUACAAAGAAUGAACGAGGAACGUGUACCACUGAAACUGCUAAAUACAAAUCCCGAUGGAAGCCGCAGGCCAGGAAGACCGAGAGCGAGAUGGAAAGAUGCAAUUGAGUCUGAUCUGAAAGUACUAGGAGUGAGCGACUGGAGAACGUUGGCGCGGAAUAGGUCCGAUUGGAGAAGAUUGCUGGAAGAGGCCAAAACCAAUAGUAGGUUGUAGUGCCCGCCUAAGUAAGUAAGUAAGUAGGUAAUAAACUAUUA